rnacentral:rRNA from 2 species
AGGGCGCACGGUGGAUGCCUUGGCACUAGGAGCCGAUGAAGGACGGGACUAACACCGAUAUGCUUUGGGGAGCUGUAAGUAAGCUAUGAUCCAGAGAUUUCCGAAUGGGGGAACCCAAUAUCUUUUAUAGGAUAUUACUUUUCAGUGAAUACAUAGCUGAUUAGAGGUAGACGCAGAGAACUGAAACAUCUUAGUACCUGCAGGAAGAGAAAGAAAAUUCGAUUCCCUGAGUAGCGGCGAGCGAAACGGGAAGAGCCCAAACCAACAAGCUUGCUUGUUGGGGUUGUAGGACUCCGAUAUGGUAGUCUGUUAGUAUAGUUGAAGGAUUUGGAAAAUUCCGCUAAAGAGGGUGAAAGCCCCGUAGACGAAAUGCUGACAACACCUAGGAGGAUCCUGAGUACGGCGGAACACGAGAAAUUCCGUCGGAAUCCGCGGGGACCAUCCCGCAAGGCUAAAUACUCCCUAGUGACCGAUAGUGAACCAGUACCGUGAGGGAAAGGUGAAAAGCACCCCGGAAGGGGAGUGAAAUAGAUCCUGAAACCGUGUGCCUACAACAAGUCAAAGCUCGUUAAUGAGUGAUGGCGUGCCUUUUGUAGAAUGAACCGGCGAGUUACGAUUGCAUGCGAGGUUAAGUCGAAGAGACGGAGCCGCAGCGAAAGCGAGUCUGAAUAGGGCGAAUGAGUAUGUAGUCGUAGACCCGAAACCAUGUGAUCUACCCAUGUCCAGGUUGAAGGUGCGGUAAAACGCACUGGAGGACCGAACCCACGUACGUUGAAAAGUGCGGGGAUGAGGUGUGGGUAGCGGAGAAAUUCCAAACGAACUUGGAGAUAGCUGGUUCUCUCCGAAAUAGCUUUAGGGCUAGCCUCGGAAUUGAGAAUGAUGGAGGUAGAGCACUGUUUGGACUAGGGGCCCAUCUCGGGUUACCGAAUUCAGAUAAACUCCGAAUGCCAUUCAUUUAUAUCCGGGAGUCAGACUGCGAGUGAUAAGAUCCGUAGUCGAAAGGGAAACAGCCCAGACCACCAGCUAAGGUCCCAAAAUAUAUGUUAAGUGGAAAAGGAUGUGGGGUUGCACAGACAACUAGGAUGUUGGCUUAGAAGCAGCCACCAUUUAAAGAGUGCGUAAUAGCUCACUAGUCGAGUGACCCUGCGCCGAAAAUGUACCGGGGCUAAACAUAUUACCGAAGCUGUGGACUACACCAUUAGGUGUAGUGGUAGGAGAGCGUUCUAAGGGCGUUGAAGGUCGAUCGUGAGGACGGCUGGAGCGCUUAGAAGUGAGAAUGCCGGUAUGAGUAGCGAAAGACAGGUGAGAAUCCUGUCCACCGUAUGACUAAGGUUUCCUGGGGAAGGCUCGUCCGCCCAGGGUUAGUCGGGACCUAAGCCGAGGCCGAUAGGCGUAGGCGAUGGACAACAGGUUGAUAUUCCUGUACCAGUUGUUUUUGUUUGAGCAAUGGAGGGACGCAGUAGGCUAAGGAAUGCAUGCGAUUGGAAGUGCAUGUCCAAGCAAUGAGUCUUGAGUAGAGUUAAAUGCUUUACUCUCUAAGGACAAGUUGUGACGGGGAGCGAAAUAAUAGUAGCGAAGUUCCUGAUGUCACACUGCCAAGAAAAGCUUCUAGUGAGAAAACAACUGCCCGUACCGUAAACCGACACAGGUAGUCGAGGAGAGUAUCCUAAGGUGAGCGAGCGAACUCUCGUUAAGGAACUCGGCAAAAUGACCCCGUAACUUCGGGAGAAGGGGUGCUGACUUCGGUCAGCCGCAGUGAAUAGGCCCAAGCGACUGUUUAUCAAAAACACAGGUCUCUGCAAAAUCGUAAGAUGAAGUAUAGGGGCUGACGCCUGCCCGGUGCUGGAAGGUUAAGAGGAUGGGUUAGCUUCGGCGAAGCUCAGAAUUGAAGCCCCAGUAAACGGCGGCCGUAACUAUAACGGUCCUAAGGUAGCGAAAUUCCUUGUCGGGUAAGUUCCGACCCGCACGAAAGGCGUAACGAUUUGGGCACUGUCUCAACGAGAGACUCGGUGAAAUUUUAGUACCUGUGAAGAUGCAGGUUACCCGCGACAGGACGGAAAGACCCCAUGGAGCUUUACUGUAGUUUGAUAUUGAGUGUUUGUACCACAUGUACAGGAUAGGUAGGAGCCGAUGAGACCGGAACGCUAGUUUCGGAGGAGGCGCUGGUGGGAUACUACCCUUGUGUUAUGAACCCUCUAACCCGCACCACUAAUCGUGGUGGGAGACAGUGUCAGAUGGGCAGUUUGACUGGGGCGGUCGCCUCCUAAAAGGUAACGGAGGCGCCCAAAGGUUCCCUCAGAAUGGUUGGAAAUCAUUCGAAGAGUGUAAAGGCAGAAGGGAGCUUGACUGCGAGACCUACAAGUCGAGCAGGGACGAAAGUCGGGCUUAGUGAUCCGGUGGUUCCGCAUGGAAGGGCCAUCGCUCAACGGAUAAAAGCUACCCUGGGGAUAACAGGCUUAUCUCCCCCAAGAGUCCACAUCGACGGGGAGGUUUGGCACCUCGAUGUCGGCUCGUCGCAUCCUGGGGCUGUAGUCGGUCCCAAGGGUUGGGCUGUUCGCCCAUUAAAGCGGCACGCGAGCUGGGUUCAGAACGUCGUGAGACAGUUCGGUCCCUAUCCGUCGCGGGCGUUGGAAAUUUGAGAGGAGCUGUCCUUAGUACGAGAGGACCGGGAUGGACUUACCGCUGGUGUACCAGUUGUUCUGCCAAGGGCAUUGCUGGGUAGCUAUGUAGGGAAGGGAUAAACGCUGAAAGCAUCUAAGUGUGAAGCCCACCUCAAGAUGAGAUUUCCCAUUUCU